rnacentral:misc_RNA from 1 species
UGGUGGAGGGAGGUGCAGACAAUGUUAAUCAAUGCUUUCUUGAAGCCUCUCGUUUUGGGAGCACUGAGCUUGUCCGCAUUCUCUUGCAGAUUGCUCAAAGGAAUAGUUUGGAUGUUGAUGUCGACCUGGCUUUGGGAUUUGCUUCUCAUUAUGGUAAAAUUGGAACUAUGGAAUGUUUAGUGGAAGAAGGGAAUGCAAUGGCAUUCUUGGGACCUUUGAUGAGAGCUGCCGAAAGGGGAUCCAUGCAGGUAGUUGACUGGUUUGUUAAAAGGGGUUGCAGAGAUAUGGAACUAUGUCUGGCCCUCACUGCUGCUACUUCCAGUAGUCAGGUUGAAGUUGCUCGAUAUCUCCUUCCUCAUGUUCCUCAGCAUGUUCUUGCUGCCCUAAGCAUUGAGAUUCUUAAGGCUGCUGGUGAAAGAAGUAGCGGGUCUCUCGAUGGAGUAGCAUUUCUCCUAAGUUCGGACUUCCUCGGUGAUCCCAUUGCCACUUAUGCUGUCGCUGACAGCAUUGCGAAGUCUGAUGACGAGGCUGUGGCUCCUGCACUCAGGUCUUUCCUUCGAGAGCAUUGGUCAGAAGCUGCUUUCUCAGACGGACUUAGGCAGGGACAAGAACACUACUGUAACCUGUUGCGUAUUAUGAAAUGGGGGGAAUCUCCCGUGUGUUUGAGGGACAUCCCGGGGCCAUUGAGGAUAGCAAUAGCAUACCUGCCACUGUAUAGGGAAUGUGUCAAGGCAGGGGGUUGUUUGUUAUCACAAAGACUUAAGGGCCAGCUUGUGGAAGCAGCAAAAAGGCUCGACGGUGUAGUGCUUGAAGAAGUAAAGCAAGGGAGAGAACUAUUGGCUGUUUUGGAGCAUCAUCUUCCUCCAUUUUUGCAUAAUAAUGCAUCCAAUGCUGCUUAGUUUUUGAAAAUUUUCACAUAUCUUGUCUCUUCAACGAAGUCUAAUAACACAAUGGUUGGUGCAUUGAAUGUGAGCAAGAAGCCCUCUUAAGGUUGGUCAGUUAUCUUAAUGAACCAGACCUUUGUGUUGGCUUAAGAUAAUUGUACCUGCAGAGAGUCUACAAUUUGCAUAUUUCUGAUGUGUAUGUUGAGUAACUACAUUCACAAGUCUGGGAACUCAAAUGGACAUGCAAUAUUGGCUAUUUUCA